rnacentral:rRNA from 1 species
UAUAUAUAUUAUUUAUAUAAAUACAUAGAUCAAGCAUACAUUUUUGUAGACAUAAAGUUUCGAUUUAUGUUUAUGUAGUACUGUGAAAAAAUUCAAGUGCUCCAAGCAGUCUUAUGACUAUGACAUUAGCAUGGAAUACUAUACCAACCUUAGAUAACAUAGGUAAUUGUGGUAAGGGAAUGGAUCAAUCAGACAUUGGGGAUGCUCGUACUUUGGGGAUAGAGGUGAAAUUCUUGGACCCCUGAAAGACGAACUAUUGCGAAAGCAUUCAUCCAACGUGUGCUUGUGAAUCAAGAACGAAAGUUAGGUGAUCAAAGACGAUCAGAUACCGUCGUAGUCCUAACCAUAAACGAUGCCAACUAGUGGUAUUAUUUCAUUGUUUAUACGUAUAUAUGAGUAAUAUAUAUGUAUAUCACGAUAAAUGAUGACACUUGUGAGAAAUCAAAGUGUAUGGGUUCUUGGGGAAGUAUGGCCGCAAGACUGAAACUUAAAGGAAUUGACGGAAGGGCACCACCAGGAUUGGAGCCUGCGGCGUAAUUGACUCAACACGGGAAAACUUACCAGGUCCGGACAUGGUUAGGAUUGACAGAUUGAAGUUCUUUCUUGAUUCUAUGGGUGGUGGUGCAUGGUCGUUUUUGGUUGGUGGAGUGAUUUGUCUGGUUGAUUCCGUUAACGAACGAGACCUUGAUUUUGUGUUUAUGAUAUAUUUCUUUUAUGAAAUAUGGUUAACUCAUGUCACAAAAGACAAUCGA